rnacentral:rRNA from 1 species
CCCAGACUCCUACGGGAGGCAGCAGUGGGGAAUAUUGCACAAUGGGGGAAACCCUGAUGCAGCGACGCCGCGUGAGUGAGGAAGUAUUUCGGUAUGUAAAGCUCUAUCAGCAGGGAAGAAAAUGACGGUACCUGACUAAGAAGCUCCGGCUAAAUACGUGCCAGCAGCCGCGGUAAUACGUAUGGAGCAAGCGUUAUCCGGAAUUACUGGGUGUAAAGGGAGCGUAGGCGGCAAGGCAAGUCUGAUGUGAAAACCCAGGGCCCAACCCUGGGACUGCAUUGGAAACUGUAUUGCUUGAGUACCGGAGAGGCAGGCGGAAUUCCUAGUGUAGCGGUGAAAUGCGUAGAUAUUAGGAGGAACACCAGUGGCGAAGGCGGCUUACUGGACUGUAAAUGACGCUGAGGCUCGAAAGCGUGGGGAGCAAACAGGAUUAGAUACCCUUGUA